CGAUUGUAACCACCUCUGUGUAAUUCUCAGGGUAAAUACACUGCGAACAAAUCAUAAACACAAACAAUAUCAGAUUCACUUCAUGGAAAGCCCACUCAGUGAUGUCUGUUCACCAAAGGGUUAAAAAGAAGUUAAAGAGAAACUUUGAAAAAGAAGAAAUGUUUCAAAUUUCAGUCCCCAUGGGAAAUGAGAGAACUGUGCUGAACUUCCUCUUUACUAACAUUUUAACAACUUUAACCCCUGAGAAACAAGAGACUAAAGAAGCUGCAGUUGGCCUGGACACUUUGUAUUUUGAUGUAUCAACUGGAUUUACAAUAAAUUGUGUGGACAAACAGGGCUGUCACUCUCUUGAGAUGAUCAGUGGAACUCGGUUUGCUGUGAUCCUGUAUCUCUGUGUUACUGUGGAGGCUUCUCUGAUUGCUUUCAGCGUUUCUCUUCCCCGCCUCCUCCCCGACCUUCAAUAAUGAGACAAACUCCUCCCCAAGUGGCCAUUUCAGCGAAAGAUUGAUUUCCACCUACAGGAUGAUGGUUUCCGAAUGCAUCUGAUACAGAAGAGAACAGCGGCUCCAGCGAUGACAAUAGCUCCCAGUACAGCCCCCACACUGAUCCAGACAAUCCACAGCUCUCUGUUCAUUCCCACUGCAGGAGCUGCAAACAGAGAAACAGAUCAACCACAGGAAAAAGAAUGAAACCAAUCCUGACCUUUUCUUUAUUGACUUCUGGGAUGUCUGACCUUAUGCUCGAAGGAAGAUGGAACAGUUGAAGAUAGUUGGCCCUUGGACACUACCCUGAGGAACUCACACAGAGGUCUCCUGGACCCAAGAUGGCUGCCUCCAACAAUCACAACCAACUCUCUUUUGGCUCUUAUAGCUUACAGCAGAAACUAAAGUGUAAGGAUCCGGGACAGAGAGUCAGACAGUGCUGUUAUGAAGAAACACAUAAGUGCCUACGUGACUGAUUGGAAUCUGUGGGACUGGUCCAUAUUCAAGAAUUCAACAGCCAAUCUAAGUGAGUCUGCCACCACUGUCACAGAGUUUAGCAGUAAGUGUGUAGAGGGCAAUGUGCAUAAGAAGUUAAUCUGAUUAUUCCCCCCAACCAGGAACAUAGAUGAACCAAGAAAUCCAUUCCCUACUGAAGUCCAGAUCAGAGGCAUUAAAAUCGGGUGACUCUGACCCAUGGGGUGAUCUUGGUAUGACCUUCACAAAGCCAUCAGCAAUGCCGAAAGACAAUGACAGACUGAACUGGAGUCCCAGACUGACUACACAGAUCGAAGAACAGAUUCUUUCCUGCUGUUAUUAGACUUUCUUUAGGAUCUCUCAAACGUUAGAGUUGAUCUUUCUCUGCACCUUCUCUGAGGCUGUAACACUAUAUUCUGCAUUUUGUUCUAUUAAUCUGAUGUAUUUAUUAAAAAAUAUGAUUUGCCGAGAUAGCUCGCAAAAUAGUACUUUUCACUGUAUUUUGGUACAAGUUACAAUAGCUGAAAAUGUGUUGCUGAAAAAGUGCAGC